rnacentral:rRNA from 1 species
AGGGGUAUAUGUCUUCGGAUAUAGAGACCGGCGCACGGGUGCGUAACGCGUAUGCAAUCUACCUUUUACAGAGGGAUAGCCCAGAGAAAUUUGGAUUAAUACCUCAUAGUAUAGUGACUCGACAUCGAGAUACUAUUAAAGUCACAACGGUAAAAGAUGAGCAUGCGUCCCAUUAGCUAGUUGGUAAGGUAACGGCUUACCAAGGCUACGAUGGGUAGGGGUCCUGAGAGGGAGAUCCCCCACACUGGUACUGAGACACGGACCAGACUCCUACGGGAGGCAGCAGUGAGGAAUAUUGGACAAUGGGCGCAAGCCUGAUCCAGCCAUGCCGCGUGCAGGAUGACGGUCCUAUGGAUUGUAAACUGCUUUUGUACGAGAAGAAACACUCCUACGUGUAGGAGCUUGACGGUAUCGUAAGAAUAAGGAUCGGCUAACUCCGUGCCAGCAGCCGCGGUAAUACGGAGGAUCCAAGCGUUAUCCGGAAUCAUUGGGUUUAAAGGGUCCGUAGGCGGUUUAGUAAGUCAGUGGUGAAAGCCCAUCGCUCAACGGCGGAACGGCCAUUGAUACUGCUAAACUUGAAUUAUUAGGAAGUAACUAGAAUAUGUAGUGUAGCGGUGAAAUGCUUAGAGAUUACAUGGAAUACCAAUUGCGAAGGCAGGUUACUACUAAUGGAUUGACGCUGAUGGACGAAAGCGUGGGUAGCGAACAGGAUUAGAUACCCUGGUAGUCCACGCCGUAAACGAUGGAUACUAGCUGUUGGAAGCAAUUUCAGUGGCUAAGCGAAAGUGAUAAGUAUCCCACCUGGGGAGUACGU